rnacentral:lncRNA from 1 species
GUGCCCUUGGUUAUCAAGGUCAAGAUUUCCUGAGAGGAUAGAGAUAUACAAAUAACUUACAUUUGAUAUGGCUGGGUAUUCAAGCAGCAGUGCUAUUAAAUUUCAUUGGAGACUGCCCCAGAGACAUGGACACAUGUGGAGUGUCCAGAGGCUGACCAGUGAGCACGCAUUUGGCAGCACAAGGAAGAGACUGCUCACGCACUGGAAUACCAGGCAUCUUCUCACAGUUGACUUUUAGUUCUUGCUUUGUUGUUCCCAUGUGGUGCUUUAGCAUCCCUGGGAGUCAGCCAUUCAGGGAUGCUUUUCUGGGCAUCACUGCUGCCAGCCAACACCAAUACCAGCUUGUGUUGAAGCUAACUUGAGCUGGAGUAUUGACUUCUGUGUUCCCUGUACUUAUGACCCCCAGUAAACUGCCCAGCCCCUGCUAUUCAGAUCAGUCCAAGGCACAGCUAACCUUACAACUGCUCCUCAACCUGGCCUGACAUUUUGAAACC